rnacentral:rRNA from 1 species
AUGAGUUGUUUCUUUCUCUCCAAGUUCUAUCUUCUUCCUAAAUAUCUCCUGUAUCCAAACUACUUUGUAUGCGCUGUACGGGAGGUGCGUCCCGCCUAUAUUAACACGUACCCGUCGGCCUCAACAGGCAAGAUGUUUCCAGCUAUUCGCACAUGGUAUCAGAGCUAUCCUUUUCUCAUCAAAGCUCCCUGCAAACUCCUUCUAGCCCUAGCCAUGUCUUCCACCUCUGGCGCAUCCCAAACCAGCCUCAAUAGCCAAGUUACCGAGAAGCUAACCCGCACAAAUUAUGUGCUAUGGCGCACGCAAGUCAUCCCUCAGCUGCGCGGCGCCGGUGUCUAUGGCUACAUCAACGGCACCCAGUCGGAGCCGGCGAAACUCCUCGUCACCACCAAGGACGGCAAGGAGGUUUCGUCAACGCCCAACCCUCUCCACCCAAUCUGGGUCCGGGAGGAUCAGCAGGUUCUGGGAUACCUGCUGAACAACCUGACGCGUGAGGUGCUGCUCACGGUGACCACGGUCACCACCGCGGGCGCGCUCUGGACGACGCUCGCUAGGAUGUUCUCGUCCCAGUCCGCCAGCCGCAUCAACAACAUACGAACGUCCCUCAUCAACGCGCAGAAAGGGAGUCUCUCCGUUGCCUCCUACUUCGCCGCCAUGCGCAGCUACGCCGAUGAGCUAGCCGCCGCAGGCAAGGCGAUCCCGGACGACGAACUCGCCUCCUACAUCAUCCAUGGGCUCGACGCCGACUAUCAGCCUCUGGUGUCUGCCCUCGACGCUCGCGUGACCGCGGUAACCCUUGAUGAACUCUUUGCCAUGUUAUCGAAUUUCGAUCAGCGCAUGGCUCACUUCUAG